CAGGGCAUAGCUUAAUACAGUAAAGCACCUCCCUUACACUGAGGACUCGCCCGUGCAAAUCGGGCUGACCUGA
rnacentral:tRNA from 1 species